AAGACUAUGCUUUCAGGGAUCAUUUCUAUAGUUUCUGACUUGGAAGUUUGAUUUGAAAGUGUAACGUCUCUCUAACCACGAUGACGAGUUAAGAUGCUUUCUUUUGAGCGUGAAUCGGGUGGUGAGCGACGAGCGAGAUUGUCUGCUCUCUGUCAUUGAUGAACGUUCCUGCUGUGCUUUGCAGUCUGGAAGAAGAAAGCAUGUUCAGAGUGGUU
ensembl:snoRNA